UGCAGUCGACGAUGAUGCCCNGCUUGCUGGGUGGAUUAGUGGCGAACGGGUGAGUAACACGUGAGUAACCUGCCCCUGACUCUGGGAUAAGCGUUGGAAACGACGUCUAAUACUGGAUAUGACUGCCGGCCGCAUGGUCUGGUGGUGGAAAGAUUUUUUGGUUGGGGAUGGACUCGCGGCCUAUCAGCUUGUUGGUGAGGUAAUGGCUCACCAAGGCGACGACGGGUAGCCGGCCUGAGAGGGUGACCGGCCACACUGGGACUGAGACACGGCCCAGACUCCUACGGGAGGCAGCAGUGGGGAAUAUUGCACAAUGGGCGAAAGCCUGAUGCAGCAACGCCGCGUGAGGGAUGACGGCCUUCGGGUUGUAAACCUCUUUUAGUAGGGAAGAAGCGAAAGUGACGGUACCUGCAGAAAAAGCACCGGCUAACUACGUGCCAGCAGCCGCGGUAAUACGUAGGGUGCAAGCGUUGUCCGGAAUUAUUGGGCGUAAAGAGCUCGUAGGCGGUUUGUCGCGUCUGCUGUGAAAUCCCGAGGCUCAACCUCGGGCUUGCAGUGGGUACGGGCAGACUAGAGUGCGGUAG
rnacentral:rRNA from 1 species